CUCUCCGUGCUGGAUGUCUGCACCGAGCCCAUCACCGUCGACGGCCUUUUCUAUCUCGUGGCCAACUAUGAGCAGCGGGUUGAGAUGUUUCAUGGCACCACCAGUUUCAAGUCGGCCGCCAACGCUGCCUUGCACGGCUGUGGUGGUGGUGGCAAGGGUGGCUACCGCAAGGGCGGGGGUUCUGGUGGCCCUCGCAGCGGCGGCGGCUAUGGCCCAGGUAGCGGUGGCGACUAUGGCACAAGCAGCGGCGGCGGCUACAGCGCUGGUGGUGGCAGCGGCCACGGCGCUGGCGGCGGCUACGGCACAGGAGGUGGCGGUGGCUACCAAAACCCUAACCCUAGUUCUGGCGGGGGUUAUGGCUUCCAACAGAACAAUGGUGGGGGCUAUCAAGGUGGUGGUGGUGGUGGUGGUGGCCACUACCAUCAGAACAACUACGGUGGUGGCAACAACAACAAUCGGCGCCCCCCCCCCUUCCCUGGCAACAACAAUCGGGGGAGCAACUUCCAAGGGUAUGAAGGUUAUGAAAACAAGUGCCAAAUUUGCAAGAAAACAAAUCAUAUUGCAAAAUAUUGUGAUUGGCGCUAUGCCGAUGACAACAAUGCCCAGAAAAAAGAAAAUUGCAGCUGCAGCUGA
rnacentral:rRNA from 1 species